rnacentral:rRNA from 1 species
CAUUACGCGGCUACACAUGCAGUCGAGCGGAAGCGAGUUAUCUGAACCUUCGGGGGACGAUAACGGCGUCGAGCGGCGGACGGGUGAGUAAUGCCUAGGAAAUUGCCCUGAUGUGGGGGAUAACCAUUGGAAACGAUGGCUAAUACCGCAUGAUGCCUACGGGCCAAAGAGGGGGACCUUCGGGCCUCUCGCGUCAGGAUAUGCCUAGGUGGGAUUAGCUAGUUGGUGAGGUAAGGGCUCACCAAGGCGACGAUCCCUAGCUGGUCUGAGAGGAUGAUCAGCCACACUGGAACUGAGACACGGUCCAGACUCCUACGGGAGGCAGCAGUGGGGAAUAUUGCACAAUGGGCGCAAGCCUGAUGCAGCCAUGCCGCGUGUGUGAAGAAGGCCUUCGGGUUGUAAAGCACUUUCAGUCGUGAGGAAGGUAGUGUAGUUAAUAGCUGCAUUAUUUGACGUUAGCGACAGAAGAAGCACCGGCUAACUCCGUGCCAGCAGCCGCGGUAAUACGGAGGGUGCGAGCGUUAAUCGGAAUUACUGGGCGUAAAGCGCAUGCAGGUGGUUUGUUAAGUCAGAUGUGAAAGCCCGGGGCUCAACCUCGGAAUUGCAUUUGAAACUGGCAGACUAGAGUACUGUAGAGGGGGGUAGAAUUUCAGGUGUAGCGGUGAAAUGCGUAGAGAUCUGAAGGAAUACCGGUGGCGAAGGCGGCCCCCUGGACAGAUACUGACACUCAGAUGCGAAAGCGUGGGGAGCAAACAGGAUUAGAUACCCUGGUAGUCCACGCCGUAAACGAUGUCUACUUGGAGGUUGUGGCCUUGAGCCGUGGCUUUCGGAGCUAACGCGUUAAGUAGACCGCCUGGGGAGUACGGUCGCAAGAUUAAAACUCAAAUGAAUUGACGGGGGCCCGCACAAGCGGUGGAGCAUGUGGUUUAAUUCGAUGCAACGCGAAGAACCUUACCUACUCUUGACAUCCAGAGAACUUUCCAGAGAUGGAUUGGUGCCUUUCGGGAACUCUGAGACAGUGCUGCAUGCUGUCGUCAGCUCGUGUUGUGAAAUGUUGGGGUCAAGUUCCCGCAACGAAGUGCAACCCUUAAUCCUUUG